rnacentral:lncRNA from 1 species
UGAACCUUUACACCCAGGUUUGGAGACAGAAAGGAGCACCGCCAAGUGAGGCAGAGCAGUCUCAGAAACAUAGGAAAAUAUGUGUCACAGGGCAGUCCUUGUUAGAGGAUAGUGAGAUGUGUUGAAUGGUGUCUUUGGGAUCCUCAAGCACAGAUUGUAAACUCUGCUUCAAGUUUUACAGUGUCUCAGAUUCAAAUCUUCUUUGCCUGCAAUGAUAAACAGAGACACAGCCUUCUCUGAAAACAAAUAUAUCUCAUAAGGAUGUCCUCCACUUCUCCAGUCCUCAUCCCGCACAGCCUAUAAGGUGCUGAGCAAUUGAUAGAUCCUAGAAAAGUCCUGAAGUGCUUCAAGCAAACAAAAGCUUCUAGCAGAGAUGGAAUAAUAGAGACCAGAUGUACCCUCCCAGCUGAAACAACAAAAAAAUACAGAACAAAAUAUAUAAAAGAAUGGUUUUCAAGGUACUAGACAUCACACAGUGAAGGACAGUGAUCCCAGAGAGAUGAGAAACAAACAAGGGUGGGAAGAGAGAUCAGCAACGUUAACUGGGUGUCAAGAAAACAUACCGAGAUUGAAGCCAUCCACUUCUGCAGGAACACCGAAAAGAAAGCUUACAAUCUGAAGGUGUCCGUUCCUACACUGGUCAGACCACUGUCCUUGGGGCAGCUGGGGUCUUUGGGACCCUCCACCGGGC